rnacentral:lncRNA from 1 species
GUGGAUGAACGGGGGAGCCUUAGGUGGAACAGCACAGGGUGGAACCCGGCAGAGGACAAUGGGAGCUGAUGGAGGCUAGGCCAGAGUGGGGCCUUCAGUGAUGCUUGAACCCCAGGCUUCAGACUCCAGAAGAGCCAAGGGCAGGUGGCCCGGCUGCAGAGCCUGUGGCAGGCAGGCCUCACUCACUAUACCCUUCUGUGUCCUUUGCCUGCAGAGACCUGUCUGGGCCGCAGAGAGGAGUCUGGAGGUAGGGUCCAAGGGCCACGAGCCAGUUUGGGCUGCUGGAGGGGGGCCUGGCAAGGAGGGCUCUCGGGGAAGCACCUGUGGGGGUCUGCUUCCUGACCCCAGGGAGCUAGAGGCCUCCCUCCCUCCAGGCCCCCCGAGCCAGGCUGAGCCAGCCGCUAGGGGCACGGAGCAGUGCCCACCUUGCGCCCAGUGUGGCCAGAGCUUCGGCCAGAAGGAGCUCAGUGCGCCGCACCAGCGCGUGCAUCGUGGCCCCCGGCCUUUCGCUGGUGCUCAGUGUCCCAAGAGCUUCACGCAGCGGACCACCCCCGCCAGCCACCGUCGGGCGCACGUGGCCGAGUGCACCUACACCCGCGCCCAAUGCGGCAAGACCUUCCUCCAGCAGUCGACGCUCACACCCACUACUGCGCGCACAUCAGGGAGAAGCCCUACGAGUGCGCCAAGCUCUUUGGCCGCCUGUCCACGCUGCUGGAGCACCGGCACAUGCACACGGGUUCCCAUGAUCAGUGGUGAAAUAUAGUGAUUUUCACCUGUGCUUCCAUUCUGAAGUUCUGGAAAGAAGUACUGGAUGGACUGAAGUCCAGGACAACGUCCCAAAGAAAGGCAGAGUCCAGGUAGGCUUGGAGGACCAAGCCCUGGAUGAGCACUGGAGGGCAGAGGCCUCAGUGUCCAGCACUGUGCCCUGCACAUGGAAAGCCCCUACGUUUGUGGAAUGAAUGAAUAAUAAAAAU